rnacentral:misc_RNA from 1 species
AGUGAGGGAAGAGAUUCUUAAGGCCCUUUUGAAUGCAGACCUUAUUGGCUUUCACACUUUCGACUAUGCUCGACACUUCCUGUCUUGUUGUAGUCGGAUGUUGGGUUUGGAAUAUCAGUCAAAGAGGGGUUAUAUUGGGUUGGAAUAUUUUGGAAGGACCGUGGGGAUAAAGAUCAUGCCUGUUGGAAUUCACAUGGGCCAGAUGGAGUCAGUGUUAAGACUUGCUGAUAAAGACUGGAGGGUACAGGAGCUCAAAAGACAGUUUGAAGGAAAAGUUGUGUUACUUGGAGUUGAUGACAUG